GAUGAAGAACGUAGCGAAAUGCGAUACGUAAUGUGAAUUGCAGAAUUCAGUGAAUCAUCGAAUCUUUGAACGCACAUUGCGCCCGCCAGUAUUCUGGCGGGCAUGCCUGUUCGAGCGUCAUUACAACCCUCAGGCCCCCGGGCCUGGCGUUGGGGAUCGGCGGAGCCCCCCGUGGGCACACGCCGUCCCCCAAAUGCAGUGGCGGUCCCGCCGCAGCUUCCAUCGCGUAGUAGCUAACACCUCGCGACUGGAGAGCGGCGCGGCCACGCCGUAAAACACCCAACUCUUCUGAAGUUGACCUCGAAUCAGGUAGGAAUACCCGCUGAACUUAAGCAUAUCAAUAAGCGGAGA
rnacentral:misc_RNA from 1 species